rnacentral:lncRNA from 1 species
CGGUGGCUGCAUGAUGACAUUAGCCGCAAGGUCUUUGAAGUUGAGCUUCAUUUCUGUAGUGACAAGGAUGAUGAAAAAAAAUUAGCCAUGAAUAGUUGAAGCUGGACAAGACGAGCAGAAUUACAAAGGAAGGCAACCUAUGUUGAGGACCGACGAGACUGAUACCCACGUCGAACAAGCCCUACUCAAUCAAGAUGUUCUUGAAUUGAAUGACUAGAAGCUUGACCAGUUUAUUAAAGUCAUCUACGUCGGCUAGGGAGAGAUCUUUUCUAAAGGAUGAGUUUGAUCUGGAUUGGCCCCAGGUGGACCUAAAACCCUAGAGACGAUCCGAUAGGAUGAAAAAGAACCUAUUCUUCUAGUUAUGGACCGAAGACAGAAGACCAUAUAAGACCUUACACUUCGAUCAAGGGGAGAAGUACUACCAGCCCUCAUGAUAUGGAUGUGUCUUCUAGUGAAAAGACACUGGAAAAGUGAGCACCCAAGGAGAACCUUAACGAUGUCACAGAUCAAAAUAAAAGAUACAACAACCCUAAUCUCAUUCAGGGCCACCUGAGUGGGAAGGAUCCUAUAAUGGUCAAAAAGAUUAGAAAAGUAAGGAUGAAGAGAAAAUCGGAGACCGACGAGUAGCGCCUCCUCAUAAAAGGUGAUGCCACCC